rnacentral:rRNA from 1 species
AUGACUAGGGAUAACCUUAGGAAGAGACACAUCAUCAAACCCCUUGAUUGUGUUUACUGCUUGGAACAAGAGUCUUGUUCUCACCUAUUUUUUGAAUGAAUAGUUGCUAAACAUCUCUUGGCCCACAUUGAGGAAUAUUUCUCUAGUCAGAUUGGCUCAUCCUUCGAAUCUGUCGCCAGAUUCUGGAUUGCUACCAAAAAGUGCUCAGUUUUAAACACUGUUAGCUCAGCUGUCCUUUGGUGCCUCAAAUAUAGAAAUGCUAUGAUUUUCAGUAACACCUCCUGGAUUUCCAUUCCACAGGUCUUGAGGUUGAUCAGGAACAUGGUGAGGAACUGGGCGAUUCUCUCCUCCGGAUCGGACAAGGACAAGUUGAUGAGCUUCGUGGAAACCCUAACAAGAUCCCACCAGAAACCGUUGGCGAUCACUUGUGGCUGA